rnacentral:rRNA from 1 species
ACGGGACUCUUCGGAGUUCAGUGGCGGACGGGUGAGUAACGCGUGAGAAUCUGCCUAGAGGAUGGGGACAACCACGGGAAACUGUGGCUAAUACCCAAUGAGCGGAGACGUUAAAGAUUUAUCGCCUCUAGAGGAGCUCGCGUCUGAUUAGCUAGUUGGUGGGGUAAAAGCCUACCAAGGCGACGAUCAGUAGCUGGUCUGAGAGGACAACCAGCCACACUGGGACUGAGACACGGCCCAGACUCCUACGGGAGGCAGCAGUGGGGAAUUUUCCGCAAUGGGCGAAAGCCUGACGGAGCAAUACCGCGUGAGGGAGGAAGGCUCUUGGGUCGUAAACCUCUUUUCUCAGGGAAGAAGAAAGUGACGGUACCUGAGGAAUCAGCCUCGGCUAACUCCGUGCCAGCAGCCGCGGUAAUACGGAGGAGGCAAGCGUUAUCCGGAAUUAUUGGGCGUAAAGCGUCCGUAGGUGGCUCUUCAAGUCUGCUGUCAAAGAGUGGGGCUUAACUCCAGAAAGGCAGUGGAAACUGAAAGGCUAGAGAGCCGCAGGGGUAGAGGGAAUUCCCGGUGUAGCGGUGAAAUGCGUAGAGAUCGGGAAGAACAUCGGUGGCGA